UUCAUCAUCACACUCUCUAUUUUCUUCUCCCUAAAACAAAGGCGUAAGUUUUGGGGGAAAUAAAAUAGAUAAGCAAAAUAUAAAAUAAAAAUCAAGAAAUCAAAAGUGGAGAUUUUUUUAUUUGUGGGGAAUGUUGUCUGGCUCGAGGAAAUCUUCAAUCCUGAUCAAUUUUUUUUUAUACAUAUUUUUAUAGUAAUUACUAUAUUGUUACAUAGAUCUAUACAAUAUUUAUGAUAGAUCUAUGAAUUUUUGAUUAUAUUGUUGGGUGUCGUCGGACCAGGCUUCAUUCCCCUCAAAGAUUAUAUCUACCACAUAAUUAAUUUCAGAUCUUUACAAGAGUAUCUGGACACUAGCUACUUCUAGCCACAUUGUAUAGGAAAAAGUACUAGCUGGAGUAAUUUUAUUUUGGUUUGAAUAUUGUUUAAUAUUUGGUGAUUGUUCUUUUUAUACUAAUAUUUUUUAAUUUUUUUUGUGCAAAUAGGACUAGGUUUGAUUGUUCUUGUUGCUAUUAGAUUUGAGUCCUUAAUGAAUACCUAAGAGUAAUGUUGUUUUAUAUA